UACGGAGGGGGCAAGCGUUGUUCGGAAUUACUGGGCGUAAAGGGCGCGCAGGCGGCUGCUCAAGUCAGGCGUGAAAAGGCCUGGGCUCAACCCGGGAAUUGCGCUUGAGACUGGGCUGGCUUGAGUGCGGGAGAGGAUGGUGGAAUUCCCAGUGUAGAGGUGAAAUUCGUAGAUAUUGGGAAGAACACCGGUGGCGAAGGCGGCCAUCUGGACCGCAACUGACGCUGAGGCGCGAAAAGCGUGGGGAGCAAACAGG
rnacentral:rRNA from 1 species